CCCUUCUUUCCUGAAGGACACGCUCUUGUUUUCCCACCGCAGGCACCUGCCAAUGGAGGGCUCUUCUCCUUCAGGUCCAAUUACGCCUUGGAAGGCAGAUCGAGCUUGUGUGCAGCGCCAGAGGGAAAGUGAUCUCUGUGCUGGCGGCCGUCCCGGCACACACCUAACCCUGUGCUGGUGCUCGUGCACGUGGCCAUGGUAACUGGGAUGCUGCUGCUCUGCCGUUCCCGGGGGGUGCACUGAGCUCUGCUGGGGGUGAAGAGCUGGAGGGGUGGGAUGGUAACAGGUGCUUCCAGGUGAAGCCUCCGAGUCUCCCUAGUGUCUGCCCACUGCUGCUGGGGGCUGGCGGCUGAGGAACAGGAGAGAGCUUUUCAGUGACAAGGGUCUUGACUCUUUCAACUCAGAAUUCUAAGGCCUCCUGGGAUGAAUCCUGGUCAGGACUGUGUGUUACUGGGGCGUCAGCGCUGAAUGGUUUCCUCAUAUUGGCAUCCUAAAGGACUCCUCGAGUCCUAUACCUCUUACUUAGGAAGCAAAGAAAGGGAAUGUUCUACAGGAUGAAUCCCGUUUUAAGUUUUGUAAAGUUAGAAACCGCUUUUAAGCCUACUAAAGCCAUCAAACAUCAAAACUUGGUCCUUUGGGUCUUUUCAAUCUAGAAAGGCAAAGAACGUCAGAAAUUUACAGUUUCUAGCGAUGGCAUCUCUAGGGCAGAAGUCAAACAGUCCCAUUAGUCUUUCUCUCUCCCCUCUGUUAAAGACAGGAGAAUGUGAUUUAUUUUUCUCUGAAAUCGGAGGGAACAACAGAUAAACCCAAACUGUCAGGAGAACCGUUCUCUUCAAACUCUUCCUCCACCAUGACCUCACCUCAGGGAAGCCCCCUUCAAGCCCCUCUUGCAAUCUUCCUCCUUUAGGAAUAUUUCCCAGUUUCCUUUUGUCGAAAGGCUUCUCUAACCCAGGCUGCUGCCUUCAAAUGGCUCCUACAUUUAAUAGAGAGGGGCUGUGCAGCAAUAAAGUCCGUAAGCCAUUCCAGGGCCAUGGUCUCAGGACCAUAACCUGGCAUUCCUACCGCAGCCAAAGGCCUCCCUCAUUUGAUUCGGCAGUAACAGACUGGCAUUUAAAGCCACACGGUUAUAUCCACCACAACUAUGUCACCCUCAGGAUGCUAUGUAAAUAAUUUUAAAAGAGUUAUCGCGCAAUUAUUAGGUAGAAAAAAGAUCCACUUAAGGAGUUUUGCGGGGACACGUGACUCUGUGUGAAGAUAGUGACAGGGUUUGAGUGGAUUCUCUUAGGAGGGAGAUGGGAAGACAGAGCCCCGUGCGAAGGUGGCUCUGCCACACGAAGGCCAGAGCACGCUGUGUGUGGUGGCCCUCCAGAUGCUGCUGUGAUCCAGCUGUCCCUGCACCAGCCAUGACCUUUACAGCAGUGCCUGAGAGCUGGAUCCUGCACAGCGGCAGCGAAUUCGGCGGUAACGGCACUGACUGCUGGCCCGGUACGGAACGCGGCGCCAGGCUGCCUGCCCCUCAGGUCCUGCCGGCUCCCCCAGUACAGCUUCCCAAGAAAGCCCCUCAGCACAUCAUCAGCUUUUGUUGUAAUUCAGAUGGAUCAGUAAUCACAGACUUCACAGGUAUUUAGACAUCCCUCCCCCUUAAAAAAGCUCUUCUCUGCUCAGACCGGCAUCAGAAGCAGCAGCUCCAGAACCCUCUGUCUUGGACCAAGGCCCAGAUCUUGCCUGGAAGCCACCCCCUCCUGUAGCACCUGAUUCAUAAAAUCUUAGAAUCAUGGAAUGGUUUGAGUUGUAAGGGACCUUAAAGCCCAUCCAUUCCACCCCCUGCCAUGGCUCAGGCUGCCCAAGGCCCAUCCAACCGCGCCUUGAACAUCUCCAGGGAUGGGGCAGCCACAACUUCCCUGGGCAACCUGGGCCAGGGCCUCCCCAUUCUCAAUGUGAAGAAAUUCCUCCUUAUGUCCAGUCUAAAUCUGCCCCUCUGCAGUUUAGAGGUGUUUAUGACAGUGAGCACAGAGUUCGUUUCCUCCUGAGGGCCACUCACAGCUGAUUCAGACCGCAUGGACUCUGUGGGAGGAGGCCAUGAAGCUGUCUGAUUGAUGUUCAUUCCCGUCUCUGUCAGUCUGCCUGCUCUCUGUUUGUAGAAGUGUCUAUUAAUUAUACGUCUGGUGUAUUUCAAACAGCGCUAAUUUACGGUUCUUGUUGCUGGCCUUACUGCUCUGGCAGAGCCCUGGCUAUUGACCCACACCCCACGCACUCCGAGAGCACGGAGGAGAUUGCUGUGACCGGUCCAUUACGGUAACAAGCGCCGAUUUCUGAUGCUAAUGAACAGGGAGAGAGAUGAAAUGCCAGUAUGUGUUCCCACAUCUGCCUGGUAUUGGAAUUCGGAGCUGGUGCCUCCAUUCAGGAACACGAACUGUUUUCUUCUCUCAUCUGCACAUUACGGACAGCAGAGGAGAGGCUGCGGGUCGCUGCGGAGCUCCAGGGAGCUCUUGCUGCUUGUCAGGCACGGGUCAGAGCAGUCUCUCCAUAGCACAGCUCUUGUGAGAUGGGAGGGGGGGAUCAGUUGGUCGCCAGCGGGGCAAGGAGAAUGCUGAGUUCUCAUACAAGAAGUGACAAGACGGGCAGCACUCAUGCCGCAGUUUCUGUAGCAGUUCUAUGCUAGGAGGUCUGUGAUUUAGGAAGACUUUUGCCAUUGGGUUAUCUUUUAAGCUACCAGCACGCUCUGCAUUGCCUGCGAGCAAGGUGCUUGCCAACAACUUGCUUGGAUGUACUAGUGUGAACGUUACCGGAUUCUGCUCGUUCUUUGGCACUGCUGCUGAUCUUGUGUCUUGCUGAAAAGCAGGAAUAGUUCUUUUGAAGUCAGCAGUGUAAAGCUGAAUGAGACCAGAAGCUGGUCCUCUGACUGUACGGCGACUGUGUGUUGUCUGUCACAGGCUCCUCUGCAGGCCAACCAAGCAGUUGGCCCGUCACAAGCAGUGCUGGCAGCCUCGAGGAUGCACACACUGCAGAGACACUGCUCACGUGCUGCAGCAGUUGCGCUUCUUCCUUCCUUGUGGACAGGGUUACAUGAGGUGAAGUCUGUAUUCUCCGAGACGUUGUUUCCUAGUGGGAAAUGAUGGCUACAGGUGUGCUUUGUGGAGAUGCUGAUGUACUCCAGAGGCAGUCCAUGGGGACGCACUCAAACCGCAGUUGUUCUCCCCAUACAUUUUUCCUACGUGUACACUAGCAGCUACUACUGGAAAAAAGGAAUUGGGAUGGACCUUGCUACGCUCUGAACCCUGAAGGAGAACAGAGUGUUUGUGGUCCACAGAGCCACGCGGGUGGCGUUCGCCUCUGUCACUGCUAAGAUCGCUUAGAUGUGGCAGAAGAAGCCCCUCUGCGCUACCCAUCUUUCCAAUCUCUCCCGAGAAACAAGGGCGGUGGGCACACAGUGCUGGAUUUUUUUUCUGUGUUUCAGUUUUCACCUUUCUCUUUCUCCCUUCCUUUACUUUUACCGGUGUCAUUUAUAUAAUGAGGUAGUUUUUGGUGAGGCUUUGUUACACGCGCGCCCUGAGAUCUCGGUAUUAAGUGCAUUUUAUAAAUUAAUAAAUAAAUACGCUCAUUUGUUGUAGCGUUUCUAUUGUUGAUUUGGGAACAGUGAGCUCUUGCAAAUCUCAGCUUUCACCUUGCCAAUCACUGUAUCCCUGCAAGUGUGCUGCCGUUACUUGGAACCCUUUCUGGGUUGGUGUUGGCAUCCUUUCGCUAGAUUACAUUUAUGCAUUAGUACCAUCUGUGCCUGCGGUACCUUCUGUGAGUCGGCCCUGGCCAAAUGACUGGCAUUUAUCUGGAAGAGCACUAAAAAAGGAGAGAAAGGAAAAAAAGCAAGGGAGGAAGAGAGGCAGUCAGGAUGGUGCCCAGAGCUUUCUGCUUGCUGCUGGCACCCAUGGAUCUCGAGGGCUAAGGCACUGGUGAACGCAAACGCUUGCACCAACGUCCCUUGUGCCAAUGGCUGAUGAAAUCUGUCUCUCUAAGAAUUGCUCCAUCCUAUUCGAAUAAAUCUUCCCUGCCCGUGUGUUCUAAAGGAAAGACCAACUGGCAAGGCUUAAGAGAAAAAAAAAAAACUGCUGUCCGGGGGGCGACUGAGUUGGUGGAGGCCUUCUUCCAUUGUAUUGUGUGUUCAGUUGGGUCAGAGAGUGCUUGGACCCAGCGCCACCUUUAACCUGGCAGCCAGAACUGAAGAGUAUUUGCAGUCUUGAUUGCAUUUAGGAACGUGCGUGACACGGGGCUAGGGUCGUCGCUUUACUUUCUGUUCAGAGUCGUUGAAACUUGGGCGCGAAGUAGCUUCUUGUGGUGUCUUUUCUAUAAGGAAAGGAAGAGUUGAGCGUUCGUCAAUGUCUUCGUUGUAAUAAAUAGAAGGUGCUCUCUCUUGAAAGUCAAGAGUCCUGAUAACAGUGUCACAGUAACCUUCCUCGAGGAUUCCUGAGGAAACGUGAGCAUUUUGCUCAGGCUGAUGCUUUCCCAGACCAGCGAGCAAUGCACCACUGCCGCGUUUCCACAGACAGGCAGGGAGCAGAGUGUCUCCGCCUCCUGCCGCAUCCUGCUUCCAGGUCCUCAUCCCCUUGAGAGGAAGGACCGUGAACGCCCAUUGCUGGUCACAGGCGGGUGGGCAGCACCCAGAGCGCCCUCCGAUACUCGCGGUCUGUUUCUUCAUCUCUGUGACAUGGUGAAUCGCUCCCAGCUCUGCAGCUCCCUUGUCCAGUGCUCUGUGCACGUGUCGUUACUCUGCAUCAGCUCAGCCUCCGGUUUUCGUUUGGGGGGAUGGGGAUGAUGAUGAUGGCUUCACCGUGAGCCAGAUCAGUAUCCGUAUCCCGUCAUAUCUGCCUCCAUGGCCAUGCAGCUCCCUUAGCCUGGAGGGGCGAAGGUUCACCUGGUGUCAGGUUUAUAGCCUAUAGCAGGAGAGCCCCAACUCCAGUCUGGCCGCUGAAGAGAUGAUUGUGAGUUACUGUCAACUAAAAGUAAAGAUGGACUUGUUCCGCUGUGUUUUUGGUUUAAAACUAGUUCCAUUGAAGCCAAGAGCUUUGGUGCAUGCUCUCAGUUGGCAGCAGUUUGGAUCAGUUUGUCCCAAGUCGGUACGUACAAAAGAAAAAGAGCAGGUACAAGUACAGGUUCUGUUCCGAAUGACCGCUUUCACACUGUAGAAUCUCUCCUACUAAGACCGUGGUCUUAGUUUGGAAUUCAGGAUUUGCUUUUUCUUUCGUUCCAUAUGUUCCAUGUUAAACAUAUGCUAUGCUUUAUAUUUAAAAACUAGCAGCAGACUGAAGGAAAUAGCCCACACCGCAAAAAUAUGUUUGCUUCAUUAUCAAAAGCUUCUGGGUUUUUGUAUAUUUUUUUAGCACGCUGGGGGGGAAACACCCUUGGGGAUAAUUUCAGAACAUGAAACUUAACUUUUAAGAGCUGCGGAGAGAGCGAACAUCUGUUUCCCGGUUAGCAGCAGACGUGAGGCUUGUCAGAGCUUAGAGCCGUAUAGUUCUGAGGUGGUGAUCAAGGUGUCAGCUUUGUAAUUGCAGAAGGGAGCCCCUCAUUGCACUUAGGAAUCGGCUUUGGAAUACUUGCGUAAUGCUUCAGCUGGCCUCAACUGAAAACCUACGUGGAUCCAAGGGCACGCUGCCCAACAUCCGAUAUCUGCACAGGUUCCUAGGGCACCAUCUCUCUCCUCCCUGCUGGGAUUACGCAGUGUUUCCUCUGGACCCUGUGUCUCCGUGCACAGAAGUUCCUGCUCGUAGUGAAUGAGUGCGGCACCGAGGGGAUCCAUCCUGCUGGACUGAGAGGAUGUGCUGCAUCAUCUUGGAGAACAACCUCUGAAUUCAGUCUGAACAGGACAGUUGGAAACGAGUACUCUGAAAAUGUUCCCUUCCUCUCUUUGUAUCAGCGGAUACACGCGCCACACACAAACCUCAUCUCCUUGCUGUGGUCGCAUCAAAGAGACUCUGUCGUAUUGCCUUCGUAACAGUGCCCACAGUGCAUCGAGUCGACCCUGCGACAACAGAGCAACAGGACUAUCAGCGCAAUCAACUCAGCCAUCGGGCAGCAGACCACGCUUCCUACGCUACCUUCCAGGGAGAUCCAUGGAGAGGUUUAUUGAUAGAACUGGGCACUGGUUCCUUAGAGACGGAUGAGCAAAGUACAAACCUAAGCUGUGUCACCCCACCACACAUGCUGCUCCUUCCCAUCAGAGAAUGCAAGGGACCUCCUGACUGAAGAUGAAAAGAGAAGAAUCCAAGUAAACACCAGAGAAGAGUGACUUCACCCCUGAGAGACAGAACCAAGAGCAUUGCUGCACACUGCAUGGUAGGCGUGUGUCAUUUCUCUCUUGCUGCUUGCCCCUUGGAGCACUUGAAAAGUUGGCAGGGAAACAGUGGGAUGCAACCGCUCUCCCAUUGCAAAGGAGCACCACAUCGUUUUGCUCAGCAGAGGAAGACAUGCCCCUGGCCUUCCUUCUGCUACCCGAGGGAGGCAGAAGGCAGUGCCGGGUCUUGCUGCGAAAAAGCUGUAAUGUGCCAGGAUAACUGUGCUGUAGCGUUGGGAGAAGGCAGCAGCCUGACUCGGUCAUCAGCAGCACCGUGUGCAGAAUGGAAACGGAACACAGAAAAUAAGGAAAAUACGUAGGCCGACCAGAGUGUAGCCCUCUUCAAAAAAUGAAUCACUGUAAACUCACAGAAUCGGUAGGUUGGAAAAGACCUUUGAGAUAAUCAACUCCAACCAUACCUGUCCACUACUAAACCAUAUCCCUAAGCACUUCAUCUACUUGUCUGUUAAACCCUGCCGGGGACAGGGACUCCACCACCUGCCCAGGCAGCCUCUGCCAGGGCCUGAGAACUCUUUCUGUGAAGAAGUUUUUUCUAAUGUCCAAUCCGGAGCUCCCCUGGCACAGUUUGAAGCCAUUCCCUCUUGCCCUAUCGCCUGUCACUUGGGCAGAGUCCAACAUCCACCUCCCUACAACCUCCUUUCCUUGGAGGAAAAUCUUAGCAUGUUCUCUCCUCCACCAAGUAUUUUUUACCGCUGUAAUGUCCAUGCAGCGAACGUGAGCAGCGAGGUAUGACAGAGCUUAAUUUGUUCUGUACCUCCCUUUGUUAAAAGGCAGAUCAUCAUUUCUUGGGAGGGGGAUUGCGUUGAACCUCUCUGUUAUUUUGAACUUUACUGUUUGGUUUGCUCAGUGAUUUCUUUUCCUCCUCGCUGAGGAGUCCUCUCUCUGCUCUGCUAGAAUGGGCUUUCAUGUCCAAGUAGGCCCUGCUGAGUCAUUAAAAUGCAUCUGUAUCUUUCACUGUGAUCAACGGUACUUUUAUGGUGUUUUUUAUGAGGUUGUUAAAAUGUAUGUUAAACACCGUUAAAGCUAUUUAGAGAGAGGUGGUGGAUUCCUUACUGAUAAAAUGACCCUCUCCUUCGGAUUAAAGCAACUUCACCCAAAAGAAACCUGAAUUUGUGGAGUCUGGCAACGUAACUUUGACAGAAAAGCUUGCUGCCUGUAAUGGGUGGAGUCGAGAAAUGACACUGUAAAGCUUCAAAGCGAUGCUGAAAUACAGAUCUAGGGAGAGCGAACAACUCUGGCCACGCUGUUCUGGGCUGUUGCAGAGGUGAGACUACUGGGAGGGAACGUAGUCAGGGAAGAGAAGUAGGAGAGGAGUGGGGAGCAAAGUUUGCUCAUUCAUUCUUUCCUUUUCUUUUUGCAAGGCAGCUGCCUGAAGAAUCCAGAUGCUGAAGAAUGGCAGAAGAACAGAGCACAGAGGAGCGAUGAAAAACAGGCAGUUGUGCUACCACGUGAACUGAAAACAGGGAGGAAAUGCAAUGAGCAGUCCAGCAAGUCUUUCGUUGCCCACAGCACAGAAACCACAAAUCACAUUUAACUGUCAGGUAUCGCAGAUCUUGGGGAGUGCCUUGGUACUGACAGGAGUCCACGGAACACUGCGUGGAGGGGACGAGGAAGACAGCAACUCUCUGAAAUCACGGAGGUGAAAACUGAAUGCACAGCUGUUCUUCCACAGGAAAAACAGGAAGGCCCACGGUAUGAAAUAACGUUGAAGUAAAACAAGUAACAGACAACCUCCCUAGAUCCCUGAUGGGGCUGUACUGUGGAGAAUGAGACAGAAUGGAGUCUUUCUGUUAAAGGGGAGCCUGUCAUUCCUGCCUCAGAAACCCUGGACCACGAAGGUGCUGAUGGACGCUGAGGACUUGUCGCUCUACGAGAGCCUGGGGUCUGACUGGCUGCACCAGCACUGCUGACUGGGUGGGCUUCGGUGUGGUCAGAAAGGAAAGGCAGUUCCACAAAGCAAGGAACACAGUAACAGCCUCCAAGUAAUCUCCGCUCCCCAAGUCCUCAGCGCUGUCGUUGAACUGGACGAAUAACAAACCUUACCAGUUUAAGUGCCCCAACAUGCCAGAAGGCAGAAGGAGAGUUAGUGAAACAGCAUUGCAGACUGCUGCUGGAAGGAUAAAGCAUGCACUCGGAUGAAAAGAGAUGCAGUGUCUGCAAGGGAUUAUUAACAACAAGAAAGGAUUUCCAACUUGAGAGCCUGUAAUGGACUACAAAACCCAAUUUUAGUGAUUGUACUUUUAAAAUGGUCCUUAAUGCCAGGAUAACAUCUGCACGUCACCAUGGCCAGCAACUCUCAAAUAACAGAGGAAAGGGUUUUAUGAAAGAUUUCACAGAAAUACACUACGUGCUCACCCAGCAGAA